GACGUAGGAUGCAAGCGUUGUCCGGAAUUAUUGGGCGUAAAGAGUUCGUAGGCGGCAUAUCAAGUCUGGUGUUAAAACCCGGGGCUCAACUCCGGAUCGGCAUUGGAUACUGAUAAGCUAGAGUACAGAAGAGGCAAGGGGAAUUCCCAGUGUAGCGGUGAAAUGCGUAGAUAUUGGGAGGAACACCAGUGGCGUAAGCGCCUUGCUGGGCUGAAACUGACGCUGAGGAACGAAAGCCAGGGGAGCGAAUGGG
rnacentral:rRNA from 1 species